GAGGGCUGUAGGCAGAUGGUUGGUAAGGUCAGAGAGGCCUGCAAAGCCUGGCCUGAGAGUCUCCUGGCCGCAAGCUCACUACACCUCUGAUGGGGGCAGAGCUUCUGUUUCUACCCUCAGAGAAGGUCAGCCUUUUAGUGUGUGUCCUGAGCAGAGGGCCACUCCCUCAAGACCUCCCGCCUGCUGGAAGGAGGGACACUGAGGCCCCUCCUCUAACAUCCCAAGCCCAGGUUCCUGGAAAAGGCUUCAGAUCUGUAGCAUUACCUGAGGGAGCUUCAACUCAUACCUGUUGUUACCCACACCCCCCAUUCCCUCACUGAUUUACCUCCAGAUUCCAGGGGCAUGCACCACACUCUUUCCCCUCUCCCUUCUCUCACGUGGGUACUUAGUCAUCCAAACCUUUCAAACCUUGGUACUCUAGCCAGACCCACUCCAUUUCUAGUGACCCAGUGUGUGCUCUCCACUUCCCCGGGCUGACACCCCUGAAAUGCUUAGUGUCCCCUCUCAGCCCACACACAAGUCCUUGGGGGCUCCAAAUUAUCCAAUAGGAUCCCUCAGGCAAUCUGGGUAAUCUCCCAGACUCCCUAGGAUUCUACAAGUUGCCCUAACAUCUCAACAAAAUUCAAGGUGGGCUCGGCUUUAGGUCUUCCCGCCCCCAUUCACAUCUUACCAGCCUGCUUUUCAUCCCUAAUUGUCUGGAAUCCCUGGGGCUCUCCUGCCCCUGGAAACCAGAUCCUCUGAAAUCCCACAUGGACUCAGCAAGCCUGGGGGGGUCUCUUCCCAAUCAGUCUUAGACCUGCUUCCCCCAGGCUUCUCCCUUUCCAAGGACUUCCAGACCAUCCACAGGGACGAGCGCGUGCAAAGCACGACGGGAGUUGUAGUUCUCCAAAUUCUAGCACUAUCGUGGGAAAAGUGGGACACAAGGGCCAGCCGGUACUACAAAUACGAUGGCGAGAAGGAUGCCACGCUGGAAGCCGAGCAUGGCGGGAAUUAUAGUCCAGUUGACCCGAGACUCCCCGUAGCAGGACAUAGAGAAGGAGCGGGAAGAAUGACUACAAGCAAGAUGGCCUUUUCCCCCGACCCGACCUCCUUUCCAGGCACUCACACGCCCUCUGGUCCACAACCCUCCGCGCGUGUGGUACCUGACGGGAGUCGCAGUCCAGCUGCUGCCUUCCCGCUGCCAUUUCUACUCAUCAGGAACAAUGGAAAGGUGAAAAGAAACGAGGACUACAAGCAAGAUGGCGAUCGAGGGGCGUACACCUAAUAAGUCGAUCUUAUGAAGUGGGAUGGGAAUAGUAGUUUUCUAGCCUUCCUAUGUUCCUUUAAGAAUGCCAGAACCGGGAGGAUAAAGAGACUACCGUAAAGAUGGCAGGAUACCUAACCUUUCCUGGCUGCUUCAUUCUACCACUUGGAGCUCCUCGCCCGCCUGAACUAUCAAAAUCCCGCACUCGAUGAUGCAAAGCCAGACGGGAAUUGUAGUCUUCCUCGCUCCCCUCUUUAUCUUCUGUCGAGACAAUGGAAGUGAGCGGGGCGGGGACUACCACAAAGAUGGAGGGUGAAGGAGCACAUGAUGCUAUGGGAUUUGUAGUCCAACCGCUAAUACUAUUCUCGGCGGAUGUGUAGGAGAGGACUACUACAGAGAUGGCAACCUAGUCGCUUGCCCCUCGGUGCCGGUACCUGGUGGGUUAUGUAGUCUCUGCUUUAGUUGUACAGAGAAAGGACGCUACUGUUGAAAUAUGUAUCACCGUGAACACGCCAAAUUGCUAGCGGACGGAAACGGAAAGUCUCUUUGCUCUUGGCCUCCUUUUCUAAAGGGCUUGCAGGGAAAUGUAGUCCCAAGUUUUCAUUCUCCAGUGGCGGAGAAUUGAUGUCACCUGUGGGAAUCAGUGCGGGAGAGAGAAACAUCGGAGUGACCUGGGAAUAUAGAAUGUCCGCCUUUUCGGAUCGUGAAGAUUUCAUAUUUUAAAAGAACGCAAACCAUAACCAAUAUUGUCGCGACAAGGGAGGCGUGGUUCUCUCCGAAAAGUAUACCCACGCUGUUGUUCCUUAUAAAGACUGGACGUCUCGCACACGAUGCUUCCUAUCUUAAACCUUUGCAAAUUAAUACCUUACACGUGGUGCGAACCAAAGGAAGACGACCUUGGAAUAUACAAAAUCUCCUUUCCACCGUAGGAAGUCAUCAGACCUAAGUUUCUUACCCGAAAGGGGUUAUGAUUAAUACUCACCUCCACGCUGAAUUAGCGUUAAAAGUAUUCAAGAAAGUAACCAGUUCUGGCACGGGGCGUGUGGCUGCAGUUAUUUUUUCGAGCUCCCUUUCAGCCCAGCCGUUUUGGAAGCCCAGGAAUCCAUCAUGCCGGACAGUUAGCUUCUGCGAAAAGAAAAUUGACGAGUAGGCUACCCCCAUCUUAACCCCCACCCCUCCCUCUUCAGUCCUCAUCUGAGUCUUCCAACCAUCUCUACCCAGCACUCUUCCCAGGGGGCGCCCUCUCUCCUUUUAACAGAGGACGCACACACUGACCAAAUUUUCUCAACCUGAAUUGUAGCCUUUGGAGCUGUGAAGCCUCAUGCCUUGUCUUUUGAGCCUUGGAGGCUUCCGGUGAACUCUCAGUUGCCAAAGGGACUGCUUUGUGCCAUGUGGAUGACCUCCUGCGUCCUAGAAAAUUUGCUCAGUACUACCCCAAGCCAAUCUCUGCUUCCUUGUCUCUGCUGGGUUUCCAGCCCUACUGGAGACUUGGUGGGUGUGGUUUUUCUGCUUAGGAAGUUAACUCCGGUCAAAACUGUGUCAAGUCUCAGUUUGCUAGGACUACUAGCCUUAACCUAAGUAGGGGCUCCUUGCAGCCCCGUAACAGUCGUGGCUCCCAGGGAAGUGUCUGUCCAUUUUAAAUCCACACGGCGGCGUUUCUUUCAACUAGCAAGGACUGCUUUCUGGCCUUCUAGCGCUCUCCUUGCGUGGACCAAAGUUGUACUUUUUCAUCCAUCCCACGUCUCCACCCAGUUGUUUACCCAUCAAGUUCCUAUUAAAAUUCCACUGCCACAAUAAAACCUUCUAGUAAUUCCCA